rnacentral:rRNA from 1 species
AGAGUUUGAUCCUGGCUCAGAUUGAACGCUGGCGGCAGGCCUAACACAUGCAAGUCGAACGGUAACAGGAAGCAGCUUGCUGCUUCGCUGACGAGUGGCGGACGGGUGAGUAAUGUCUGGGAAACUGCCUGAUGGAGGGGGAUAACUACUGGAAACGGUAGCUAAUACCGCAUAACGUCGCAAGACCAAAGAGGGGGACCUUCGGGCCUCUUGCCAUCGGAUGUGCCCAGAUGGGAUUAGCUAGUAGGUGGGGUAACGGCUCACCUAGGCGACGAUCCCUAGCUGGUCUGAGAGGAUGACCAGCCACACUGGAACUGAGACACGGUCCAGACUCCUACGGGAGGCAGCAGUGGGGAAUAUUGCACAAUGGGCGCAAGCCUGAUGCAGCCAUGCCGCGUGUAUGAAGAAGGCCUUCGGGUUGUAAAGUACUUUCAGCGGGGAGGAAGGGAGUAAAGUUAA